rnacentral:rRNA from 1 species
UCCUACGGGAGGCAGCAGUGGGGAAUUUUCCGCAAUGGGCGAAAGCCUGACGGAGCAACGCCGCGUGAGGGAUGAAGGCCUCUGGGCUGUAAACCUCUUUUAUCAAGGAAGAAGAUCUGACGGUACUUGAUGAAUAAGCCACGGCUAAUUCCGUGCCAGCAGCCGCGGUAAUACGGGAGUGGCAAGCGUUAUCCGGAAUUAUUGGGCGUAAAGCGUCCGCAGGCGGUCUGUCAAGUCUGCUGUUAAAGCGUGGAGCUUAACUCCAUUUCGGCAGUGGAAACUGACAGACUAGAGUGUGGUAGGGGCAGAGGGAAUUCCCGGUGUAGCGGUGAAAUGCGUAGAUAUCGGGAAGAACACCAGUGGCGAAGGCGCUCUGCUGGGCCAUAACUGACGCUCAUGGACGAAAGCCAGGGGAGCGAAAGGGAUUAGAUACCCCUGUAGUCCUGGCCGUAAACGAUGAACACUAGGUGUCGGGGGAAA